GAAUUUAAAUAUUUAUUAAAUAUUUAUCUUAAAUUUUUAAUUAAAAAAAAUAAUUAUUAUUUUAUUAUUUAAAUUGAAUAAAUAAAAUUUAUAAUAAAAAAUUAGUACUGUGAAGGAAAAUUUAUAAAAUUUAUCUAAGAAAUUUUAAUUUAAUGUACCUUGUGUAUCAGGGCUUAUUAAAUAUAAUUUAAGUAUUUAAAUAUCUCGAAUUUAAAAGAGUUAAUUAGUUAUAAAUUUUAAUGUAAAAUAAUUAUUUAUAAUAACUAGUUAGUAAUGAAAUGUUAUUCGUUUUUAAAUAUAUCUAGUUUUUUAAGAAAAAAAUUUAAUUUUAAAUUUAACAAUAAAAAUUUUUAUUAAAAAAUUUUUUUAUAGUUAAAUUUUAAUUUUUAAGGGGAUAAGCUUUUAAAAAUAAAAUUAUAAUUUUAUAAAUAAAUAGUAUAAGUAUUAGGAUUAAUAAUUUCUAAUUUUAGUAAAAUGUUAUAAUUAAUUAUAUAGAAAAUAUUAUUUAAAUAAAAUUUAAAUUAUUUAUUAAGAUUUUAAUUUAAAUAAAAAAAAUUAUUUAAUAAUGAUAAAAUUAGUAUAAAUAAUUGUUUAAAUUAUUAAAUAUUUUAGGUUAAAUUAAGGAACUCGACAAAUAUAUUUCUUACCUGUUUAUUAAAAACAUGUCUUUUUGAAUAUAAUUUAAAGUCUAAUCUGCCCACUGAAAUUGAAUGGCCGCGGUAUUUUAACCGUGCAAAGGUAGCAUAAUCAAUAGUUUUUUAAUUGAAAGCUGGAAUGAAAGAUUGAAUAAGGAAAUUAUUGUCUCAAUUUAAAUUAAUUAGAAUUUUAUUUUUAAGUUAAAAAGCUUAAAUUUAUUUAAAAGACGAGAAGACCCUAUAGAGUUUUAUAUUUUUAAUUAUUAUUUAUCUUUAGAAUUUAGUAUAUAUAAUAAUUAUAAAUAUUUAAUUGGGGUGAUUAAAAAAUUAAAUUAACUUUUUUUUUAUUUUUACAUUGAUAUAUGAAUGAUUGAUCCAAUUUUUUUGAUUAAAAGAUUAAAUUACCUUAGGGAUAACAGCGUAAUUUUUUUAUAGAGUUCUUAUCGAU
rnacentral:rRNA from 1 species